UCCGGCGGCUCCGCGGUACUUCGCGCGGCUGACCUCCGGGGCCACCCGCGAAUACUUCAGCCAUUAGCAGUGUUCUGUGCCACACAGCAUAAGCAGUGAAUGUGCAAAAUCCCCUUCGCAGGAAAACGUCCUUCAGCCCUCUCCCUCGGGGUCCUGCCUGCGAGAUCUAGCACCAGGAAGAAAGAAAAAUUACCAGGACACAAUCGAAGUCUCCAGUAUCGACCCCUCGGCAUGUGGAGCUUGAAGCCUUGUGUGGCUUGUUUAUGGCAUUCUUGGACAAACAGACCCAGUGAUUCUUUGGGCAGGAGCUGUAUGGGGAGGAAGAAAGUAAGAAGGGCUAGUCUAUUAGACUGGGAAUGGUGUUUCUCUCUCUGAGGUCUCAGUGUGGGCAUCUGUAAAACCCUGAUGCCUCACUGUGGGAGCAUGGGCAUUUUCUAAGGAGGUCUGGACCUAAACCAUGCACAGUACCUAGGAUUAGAGGUUUCCUUAGUAAUCAAAGGCACAUGACAAGUCAGGCGUGUUGGGCAUGCGGCUAGACUCCCAGCAUUUGGAAAGUAGAAUCAGAGUAUUAGAAGCUCAAUGGCCAGGGGAUGGAGAGAUGGCUCAGUGACUGAAUGAAUGCUCCUCUAGAGUCUUGAGUUCAAUUCCUAGAAACCACAUGGUGGGUCAUAACCAUCUGUAAUGAAAUCCGAUGCCCUCUUCUGAUGUGUCUGAAGACUGCUACAGUGUACUUGCAUAUAUA
ensembl:antisense Ccdc142os coiled-coil domain containing 142, opposite strand